CAGCCGCCGCGGUAAUACGUAGGUGGCAAGCGUUGUCCGGAAUUAUUGGGCGUAAAGGGCUCGCAGGCGGUUUCUUAAGUCUGAUGUGAAAGCCCCCGGCUCAACCGGGGAGGGUCAUUGGAAACUGGGAAACUUGAGUGCAGAAGAGGAGAGUGGAAUUCCACGUGUAGCGGUGAAAUGCGUAGAGAUGUGGAGGAACACCAGUGGCGAAGGAGACUCUCUGGUCUGUAACUGACGCUGAGGAGCGAAAGCGUGGGGAGCGAACAGGAUUAGAUACCCGCGUAGUCCCUGUCUCUUAUAC
rnacentral:rRNA from 1 species